CCACUGAAUGAAUUGGACUUUAUUUGCGCAGUAUAGGUGGGAGGCGUUGAUAUAUUCUUGCGGGAAUAUCGGAGCCAUCAGUGAGAUACCACUCUUGUAAUGUUAGAUUUCUAACUUUGUAUCAUUAUCUGGUCAAAGAACAGUUUCAGGCGGGCAGUUUGACUGGGGCGGUCGCCUCCCAAAUGGUAACGGAGGCGCACAAAGGUUUCCUCUGAACGGGUAGAAAUCGUAUCUAGAGUGUAAAGGCAUAAGGAAGCUUGACUGUGAGACCUACAAGUCGAGCAGGGACGAAAGUCGGUCUUAGUGAUCUGACGGUGCUGAGUGGAAAGGCCGUCACUCAACGGAUAAAAGUUACUCUAGGGAAACAGGCUGAA
rnacentral:rRNA from 1 species